rnacentral:rRNA from 1 species
GACGAACGCUGGCGGCGUGCUUAACACAUGCAAGUCGAACGAAGUGGCGAACGGGUGAGUAACGCGUAAUCAACCUGCACUUCAGAGGGGGAUAACAGUUGGAAAAGCCUGAUAAUACCGCAUACUGAAGGAGGGGAUUGCGUCUGAUUAGCUAGUUGGCGGGUUCACGGACCACCAAGUCGAUGAUCAGUAGCCGGUCUGAGAGGAUGAACGGCCACAUUGGGACUGAGACACGGCCCAGACUCCUACGGGAGGCAGCAGUGGGGAAUCUUCCGCAAUGGACGAAAGUCUGACGGAGCAACGCCGCGUGAGUGAUGACGGCCUUCGGGUUGUAAAGCUCUGUUAAUCGGGACGCGGUACCGGAAUAGAAAGCCACGGCUAACUACGUGCCAGCCGCCGCGGUAAUUC